rnacentral:rRNA from 1 species
AGCAGCCGCGGUAAUUCCAGCUCCAAUAGCGUAUAUUAAAGUUGUUGCAGUUAAAAAGCUCGUAGUUGAAUUUCGGGGUUCAUCCGUUGGUCGGGCUUUUUUGGUCUGUACUGGCGUGAUGGAUUCCUACCUUCUGAAUAACCAGCAUGUCAUUAAUUUGGUGCGCUGGGGAAGCAGGACUGUUACCUUGAAAAAUUAGAGUGCUUAAAGCAGGCUAUCGCCUGAAUACAUUAGCAUGGAAUAAUGAAUAGGACGGCAUGGUUCUAUUUUGUUGGUUUCUAGGAUCACCGUAAUGAUUAAUAGGGAUAGUUGGGGGCAUUAGUAUUCAAUUGUCAGAGGUGAAAUUCUUGGAUUUAUUGAAGACUAACCUCUGCGAAAGCAUUUGCCAAGGAUGUUUUUACAUUAAUCAAGAACGAAAGUUAGGGGAUCGAAGACGAUCAGAUACCGUCGUAGUCUUAACCAA